rnacentral:rRNA from 1 species
UACGAAGGGGGCUAGCGUUGCUCGGAAUCACUGGGCGUAAAGCGCACGUAGGCGGGUUGCUAAGUCAGGGGUGAAAUCCUGGAGCUUAACUCCAGAACUGCCUUUGAUACUGGCGGGCUCGAGGCCGGUAGGGGGAAGCGGAAUUCCCGGUGUAGUGGUGGAAUGCGUAGAUAUCGGGAGGAACACCAGUGGCGAAGGCGGCUUCCUGGACCGGUUCUGACACUGAGGAGCGAAAGCGUGGGGAGCGAUCCGG